UAUCUCUGUAGAGUCUGCAUAUCAAUAAGCGGAGGAAAAGAAACUAACUAGGAUUCCCUCAGUAACGGCGAGUGAAGCGGGAAGAGCUCAAAUUUGAAAUCUUCAAGGUUCUACCUUGACGAAUUGUAGUUUAAAGAAGUGUUUUCUGUUGGAGUUUUGGUAAAAGUUCUUUGGAAUAGGACAUCAUAGAGGGUGAGAAUCCCGUAUUUGACCAUUAUUUCCAGCUUUGUGAUACACUUUCAAAGAGUCGGAUUGUUUGGGAAUGCAGUCCAAAAUGGGUGGUAAAUUUCAUCUAAAGCUAAAUACUGGCGAGAGACCGAUAGCGAACAAGUACCGUGAGGGAAAGAUGAAAAGAACUUUGAAAAGAGAGUUAAACAGUACGUGAAAUUGUCAAAAGGGAAGCGUUUGACACCAGUGUUGUUUUCUCGAAAAUCAAUUAAAAAAGGCAGGAUUUUGUGUUGUAUUGACUUUAUCAGCUUUCUGCACUCUUUUCUUGUCUUUUUUAAUGCACUUUUCGUUUAACAAGUCAACAUCAAUUUCUUUUGUUGUAAAGGGUCAUUGGAAGGUGGCUUUCUUUUCGGAGAAAGUGUUUAUAGCCUUUGGCCUCUGCAAUCGGAGAGAUUGAGGUCUGCAGCGUAGAUCCUUCGGGGUUAGAUACAUUUGUGCUAAGUUAUAGCCUUUCAUAGACAACUUGUUGACUAUGAUCAGUCAUGUAGCUUACUCGCUUAUGCUAUUUUACCUACGCUUAGGAUGUUGACGAUCAGCUGAGCGCG
rnacentral:rRNA from 1 species